UACGUAGGGGCAAGCGUUAUCCGGAUUUACUGGGUGUAAAGGGAGCGCAGACGGCAGUGCAAGUCUGAUGUGAAAGCCCGGGGCUCAACCCCGAAACUGCAUUGGAAACUGUACAGCUUGAGUGUCGGAGAGGUAAGCGGAAUUCCUAGUGUAGCGGUGAAAUGCGUAGAUAUUAGGAGGAACACCGGUGGCGAAGGCGGCUUACUGGACGAUGACUGACGUUGAGGCUCGAAAGCGUGGGGAGCAAACAGGAUUAGAUACCCUGGUAGU
rnacentral:rRNA from 1 species